rnacentral:rRNA from 1 species
AGCCUGAUGCAGCGACGCCGCGUGAGGGAUGACGGCCUUCGGGUUGUAAACCUCUUUCAGUAGGGAAGAAGCGUAAGUGACGGUACCUGCAGAAGAAGCGCCGGCUAACUACGUGCCAGCAGCCACGGUAGUACGUAGGGCGCAAGUGUUAUCCGGAAUUAUUGGGCGUAAAGAGCUCGUAGGCGGUUUGUCGCGUCUGCCGUGAAAGUCCGGGGCUCAACUCCGGAUCUGCGGUGGGUACGGGCAGACUAGAGUGAUGUAGGGGAGACUGGAAUUCCUGGUGUAGCGGUGAAAUGCGCAGAUAUCAGGAGGAACACCGAUGGCGAAGGCAGGUCUCUGGGCAUUAACUGACGCUGAGGAGCGAAAGCAUGGGGAGCGAACAGGAUUAGAUACCCUGGUAGUCCAUGCCGUAAACGUUGGGCACUAGGUGUGGGGGACAUUCCACGUUUUCCGCGCCGUAGCUAACGCAUUAAGUGCCCCGCCUGGGGAGUACGGCCGCAAG